rnacentral:rRNA from 1 species
AGUGAACGCUGGCGGUAGGCCUAACACAUGCAAGUCGAACGGCAGCACAGUAAGAGCUUGCUCUUACGGGUGGCGAGUGGCGGACGGGUGAGGAAUACAUCGGAAUCUACUUUUUCGUGGGGGAUAACGUAGGGAAACUUACGCUAAUACCGCAUACGACCUACGGGUGAAAGCAGGGGAUCUUCGGACCUUGCGCGAUUGAAUGAGCCGAUGUCGGAUUAGCUAGUUGGCGGGGUAAAAGCCCACCAAGGCGACGAUCCGUAGCUGGUCUGAGAGGAUGAUCAGCCACACUGGAACUGAGACACGGUACAGACUCCUACGGGAGGCAGCAGUGGGGAAUAUUGGACAAUGGGCGCAAGCCUGAUCCAUCCAUACCGCGUGGAUGAAGAAGGCCUUCGGGUUGUAAAGCCCUUUUGUUGGGAAAGAAAAGCAGCGGGUUAAUACCCCGCUGUUCUGACGGUACCCAUAGAAUAAGCACCGGCUAACUGCGU